AUUGAACGCUGGCGGCAGGCCUAACACAUGCAAGUCGAGCGAGCGGCGGACGGGUGAGUAAUGUCUGGGAAACUGCCUGCUGGAGGGGGAUAACUACUGUAAACGGUAGCUAAUACAGCAUACCAUCAGAUGUGCCCAUAUGGGAUUAGCUAGUAGGUGGGGUAACGGCUCACCUAGGCGACGAUCCCUAGCGGGUCUGAGAGGAUGACCAGCCACACUGGAACUGAGACACGGUCGAGACGCAGACGGGAGGCAGCAGUGGGGAAUAUUGCACAAUGGGCGCAAGCCUGAUGCAGCCAUGGCGCGUGUGUGAAGAAUGCCUUCGGGUUGUAAAGCACUUGCAGCGGGGAGGCGUUACCCGCAGAAGAAGCACCGGCUAACUCCGUGCCAGCAGCCGCGGUAAUAC
rnacentral:rRNA from 1 species